rnacentral:snoRNA from 2 species
AUACCAUGAUGAAGACGAUUCCUUUGUAACUCCUUGUAACGCUCCCAUGCAUUAGGAAAACUUUCAUCGUCUUCUUGCUCAAAGGGUAUAUCUUGAUCCU